AAAUUCUAUAUUGAUAAUAAGAUGUGUUUAGUUGAGGUAUCCCAACUGCACACCUUUCAAUCUUUCAUCGCCUCAGCUAGAACAAGAAAAUCUCCAAUUUUCUCGCAAGAAACGACUGCAAAUGGCGAAGACUCUAAUGUGGCGACCGUAUGUUCUCUCCUCCACACGCCCCCAUAGCCGUCACUCUCUACUCCAUCACCAAGCUCUCCCUUCUUCAUCAUCCCUUCCCCAACCCCCGAAACGACUCUUCUUUUCACACUACGCAAUCCUUCCGAAGAAAACCGAAACGAACUUCUUGUUUUGGUCUUGCACCCAUGACAGAAAAACAAAGCUCCAAAUUGAGAGCGAUGGCUAUAAGUUAUCAAAAUUAGG
rnacentral:misc_RNA from 1 species